rnacentral:rRNA from 1 species
CAAUAGCGUAUAUUAAAGUUGUUGCGGUUAAAAAGCUCGUAGUUGGAUUUCUGCUGAGAACGACCGGUCCGCCCAUUGGGUGUGUAUCUGGCUCUUUCUUGGCAUCUUCUUGGCGAACGUUGCUGCACUUGACUGUGUGGAGCGCUACCCAGGACUUUUACUUUGAGGAAAUUAGAGUGUUUCAAGCAGGCAUACGCCUUGAAUACAUUAGCAUGGAAUAAUAAGAUAGGACCUCGGUUCUAUUUUGUUGGUUUCUAGAGCUGAGGUAAUGAUUAAUAGGGAUAGUUGGGGGCAUUCGUAUUUAACUGUCAGAGGUGAAAUUCUUGGAUUUGUUAAGGACGGACUACUGCGAAAGCAUUUGCCAAGGAUGUUUUCAUUGA